rnacentral:rRNA from 1 species
GACAGAGGGGGCAAGCGUUGUUCGGAAUUACUGGGCGUAAAGGGCGCGUAGGCGGCCGCCUAAGUCAGACGUGAAAUCCCUCGGCUCAACCGGGGAACUGCGUCUGAUACUGGGUGGCUUGAAUCCGGGAGAGGGAUGCGGAAUUCCGGGUGGAGUGGUGAAAUGCGUAGAGAUCCGGAGGAACACCGAAGGCGAAGGCAGUGUCCUGGCGAGUAUCCUGACGCUGAGGUGCGAAAGCCAGGGGAGCGAACGGG